UACGUAGGAUGCAAGCGUUGUCCGGAAUUAUUGGGCGUAAAGAGCGCGCAGGCGGUAUGACAAGUCAGAUGUGAAAGAGGCCGGCUUAACCGGCAAGGGUCAUUUGAAACUGUCAGACUAGAGUGCAGCAGAGGAUAGUGGAAUUCCCGGUGUAGUGGUGAAAAUGCUGUAGAUAUCGGGGAGGAACACCAGUGGCGAAGGCGACUAUCUGGGCUGCAACUGACGCUGAGGCGCGAAGGCUAGGGUAGCAAACAGG
rnacentral:rRNA from 1 species